UGCUAAGCACCUAGGAGAGAAAAAACAAAGAACUGUGAGAGUGAGUGGGAAGCUAGCAGAGAGGGAGAUAUAGAUAGAGGGAGAGAGAGAGAUAGAGAGAGACCAUUGAAUCUUCCACAUGUUCGUUGAGUUGGACUUUAUCACGCAAGACUCAUUGCAACAUCAGCAAAAGAACCUGAGAGACCAUUUUGAAAUUUUUCAAGCGGGAUAUUUAACUGGUAUGAAAUUUAUGAAUUGCAAAAUUGUAAUAAACAUGACCCUAUUAGGUCAUAAAUUAUAAUUUUGGGGAUUGAGUAACAACAUAAUCAUUUGCACGACUAACAAGUUUGUUGAGUGUAUAUUUGUUGACCUUUUAGGUUCCAAAUCACGACAAGAUCCAAAUCACUAAAAUCAAGCCAUAGUAAAAAGGAUUUUGAAUAACACUAAGGAACCCAAAUGACGAGAAAAGAAAAUCAGGAAAAGUUUGUGCCACUGGAGCUUUGCAUCAGAUAAAUUGGCACGCAGCUAGGUCAAGCUUUGUUUGCUAGAUGAUCCAUUUGGGUCAAGAUUGAAUGCAACUUUUGUCAAAUGAUUGUUUAAGGAUCAGAGAAGUUCCAAAAGAUUUUUUUGGAAAACUUCUAACUGCACCAAAAUU
rnacentral:lncRNA from 1 species